CACACACACACACACAGACAAACACAGUAUUUUUAACAUGUGGGGUAUUUUUAUGCAAAUAUGCAGGAGCAGAAACAUUUCAACACACAACUUAAAAUAUUCCCAUCUCACAUUUUUCUUUCCCCAGUCCCCAUGCUGUCUCUAAAGGAGCCGGCACAGGUCACAAUCAUACUUGGCUGCCAAAAUCAUAAAGGCCAGCAAUGAUCUCACCACUCGGGACAGUCUAAAGAGGAUUUGAGGGCCCCCCCAGGGGGUGUGGAGGCCCUGGAUUUCAGCCCCUAAGUCCAGGGGUAAGAGCACCACUGCCGACAUGUCGGAGAUGAACUCAGAGAGAGUGCUUCCUUCAAACCUUGCUAUUUGUCUCGCAGUAAGGAUCCGUGCCUGAGUGCCCCCUUCCACUAUUACAUCUUGCUGAAGGCUUUCUCUGCCUGCUGUGUUGAUUUCCUCUGCUAGAUCCUCUAUUCUGCACUUUCUGGAGCAGGCACCUGCAAAUCUGCUGGGCAAGUGUCAAAAAUCCUCAGCCCUCUGGCAAGCAGAACAUGCUGCACCACACAGAUCUCCUCCCUGGACGUCUCAUCUCCACAGCCAUUUUUGAGAAGGGACUCUAGGUUUCACUCACUGCUGGGAAUGGAUCUGCGUCACAGAGCUGGAUUCUGCUUUAUGUUCCUGAGAGUCACCUUGAGACUAUAACGCACACAAGAAGAGCCUGAAGUUGUAUGAAGAAAUAUACACGUCUUUGGAAGGAAGAAUGUGCACUGACUUUACCUCUUGCAUUUCAUAGCAGUUUGGCCCCACUGAUUACAGUUCCCCCUUCCCAUACCCAUGUGUGUAUAUACAUCAGCCGUCAAAUGGAGAUAAUUUUUCAUACAAAAGACAAAGUGUAUUCUAGUCCAGGAAAGCUUCUGCCAUCACAAUCUUUCAUCUUUAAGAUGUCACAAGACUAUUUGUUGUUUCCAAAGGACUGGAAAGUAGCCAGUGUAACACUGAUUUCCAAAAUGGGAUCCGGGGGAUCUGGGAAAUUACAGGCUGGUUAGCUUAGUGUCCGUUCCAGACAAAUUGAUGGAAAGCAUUUGUAAAGAUAAAAAGGUUAAGCAUAUAGAGGAAAGGCCCUCCUGAAGGAGAACCAGAAUGGCUUCUAUAAAAGGAAAUCUUGCCUCACUAAACUUUGGAGUUCUCUGAGAAUGUCAACAAGUGUGUGGAUCAAGGUGAUCCAGUUGACAUAGUCUACCUGGACUUCCAAAAAGCUUUUGACAAAGUUCCUCAUCAAAGACUCCUGAGGAAACUUAGCAGUCAUGGGAUAAGGGGACAAGUACAUGUGUGGAUUGCUAACUGGUUGAAAGACAGGAAACAGAGAGUAGGUAUAAAUGGAGAGUUUUCACAAUGGAGGGAAGUGAGAAGUGGGGUCUUCCAGGGAUCUGUACUGGGACCGGUGCUUUUUAAUUUAUUCAUAAAUGAUCUAGAAGCAGGGGUAAGCAGCGAGGUGGCCAAAUUUGCAGAUGAUACCAAACUCUUUCGGGUAGUGAAAUCCAAAACAGAUUGUGAGGAGCUCCAAAAGGAUCUCUCCAAACAGGAGGAGUGGGCGACAAAAUGGCAAAUGCAGUUCAGUCUUGGCAAGUGUAAAGUGAUGUAUAUUGGGGCAAAACCGCCUAACUGCAUAUAUGCUUAUGAGCUAUCUAGUGCCUGAGCUAUAAGUGCCUGGAGAGGGAUCUUGGGGUUGUGGUGGACAGCUUAUUGAAAGCAUCAACUCAAUGUGCAGCAGCUGUGAAAAAGGUCAGUUCCAUGCUAGGGAUCAUUAGGAAGGGGACUGAAAAUAAAAUGGCUAAUAUUAUAAUGCCCUUAUAUAAAAAUAUGGUGUGGCCACAUUCAGAGUAUUGUGUACAGUUCUGGUCACCAUACCGCAAAAAGGACAUUCUUGUAGAAUUGGAGAAGGUGCAGAAGAGGACAACCAAGAUUAUCAGGGGCCUAGAGCACCUUCCUUACGAGGUAAGGCU